rnacentral:misc_RNA from 1 species
GAUGAAGAACGUUGCGAAAUGCGAUAAGUAAUGUGAAUUGCAGAAUUCAGUGAAUCAUCGAAUCUUUGAACGCACCUUGCACCCUUUGGCAUUCUGAAGGGUAUGCUCGUUUGAGUGUCAUUGUACUCUCACACUCCCGAUCUUUGCAUUGGGAGCAGUGGACUUGGGUUUGCUGCUUCACCGUCGCUUACCUCAAAUAGGUUAGUGCAACUCUUGGUUGGACAUAGUACGGCGUGAUAAGUGUUCUUCGCCGGUGCCUCGCAAAGAGGGUGGCCGAUCGGGAUGUUGUGCUCCAAACCGUCUUCGGACAAUCUCUGACGACUUGACCUCAAAUCGAGUAAGACUACCCGCUGAACUUAAGCAUAUCAAUAAGCGGAGGA